AGAGCCAGGCCUCGAUGA
rnacentral:snRNA from 1 species